rnacentral:tRNA from 1 species
ACUGGCUUAGUCGGUAGAGCAUGAGACUCUUAAUCUCAGGGUUGUGAGUUCAAGGCCCACGU